UACGGGGGGAGCAAGCGUUGUUCGGAUUUACUGGGCGUAAAGGGCGCGUAGGCGGUCAGCACAAGUCAGUUGUGAAAUCUCCGGGCUUAACUCGGAAAGGUCAACUGAUACUGUGCGACUAGAGUGCGGAAGGGGCAACUGGAAUUCUCGGUGUAGCGGUGAAAUGCGUAGAUAUCGGGAGGAACACCAGUGGCGAAGGCGGUUGCCUGGGGCUUUGCUGACGCUGAUGCGCGAAAGCGUGGGGAGCGAUCCGG
rnacentral:rRNA from 1 species